rnacentral:rRNA from 1 species
UACGUAGGGCGCAAGCGUUGUCCGGAAUUAUUGGGCGUAAAGAGCUCGUAGGCGGCCUGUUGCGUCCGCUGUGAAAUCCCGGGGCUCAACCCCGGGCCUGCAGUGGAUACGGGCUGGCUAGAGGCAGGCAGGGGAGAACGGAAUUCCUGGUGUAGUGGUGAAAUGCGUAGAGAUCAGGAGGAACACCGGUGGCGAAGGCGGCCCACUGGGCAGUCACUGACGCUGAGGCGCGAAAGCUCGGGGAGCGAACGGG